rnacentral:lncRNA from 1 species
GUUUCAGAGAAACUGCUAUAAUUAUGAAUGGGUUAAGCCUUCCCCCUAAUCCUCUAGUGGCUGUCUCAUUGACAGCCACUAGAGGCGCUUGCGUGCUUCUCACUGUGAUUUUCACAGUGAGAGCACGCCAGCGUCCAUAGGAAAGCAUUGUAAAUGCUUUCCUAUGCGACGGGCUGAAUGCGCGCGCAGCUCUUGCCGCGCGUGCGCAUUCAGCCGGCGGGGCGGAGAGGAGG